CCUACGGGAGGCAGCAGUGGGGGAUAUUGCACAAUGGGGGGAACCCUGAUGCAGCGACGCCGCGUGGGUGAAGAAGCGCCUCGGCGCGUAAAGCCCUGUCAGCAGGGAAGAAAAUGACGGUACCUGAAGAAGAAGCCCCGGCUAACUACGUGCCAGCAGCCGCGGUAAUACGUAGGGGGCAAGCGUUAUCCGGAUUUACGGGGGGUAAAGGGGGCGCAGACGGCGAUGCAAGCCAGGAGGGAAAGCCCGGGGCCCAACCCCGGGACUGCUCUUGGAACUGCGUGGCUGGAGUGGAGGAGGGGCAGGCGGAAUGCGUGGUGUAGCGGUGAAAUGCGUAGAUAUCAGGAGGAACCCCGGUGGCGAAGGCGGCCUGCUGGAUUGCAACUGACGUUGAGGCCCGAAAGCGUGGGGAGCAAACAGGAUUAGAUACCCGUGUAGUC
rnacentral:rRNA from 1 species